rnacentral:rRNA from 1 species
AUGAACGCUAGCGGCAGGCCUAAUACAUGCAAGUCGAACGGUAACAUUGGUGCUUGCACCAGAUGACGAGUGGCGCACGGGUGCGUAACGCGUAUGCAACCUACCUUUUACUAGAGUAUAGCCCAGAGAAAUUUGGAUUAAUCCUCUAUAACAUCUUUAAGUUUCAUAACUUUUAGAUUAAAGUUUUAACGGUAAAAGAUGGGCAUGCGUCCUAUUAGUUUGUAGGUGAGGUAACGGCUCACCUAGACUACGAUAGGUAGGGGCCCUGAGAGGGGGAUCCCCCACACUGGGACUGAGACACGGACCAGACUCCUACGGGAGGCAGCAGUAAGGAAUAUUGGACAAUGGACGAAAGUCUGAUCCAGCCAUGCCGCGUGCAGGAUGAAAGCCUUAUGGGUUGUAAACUGCUUUUAUACAGGAAGAAACACUCCGACGUGUCGGAGCUUGACGGUACUGUAAGAAUAAGGAUCGGCUAACUCCGUGCCAGCAGCCGCGGUAAUACGGAGGAUCCAAGCGUUAUCCGGAAUCAUUGGGUUUAAAGGGUCCGCAGGCGGGAUUCUCAGUCAGUGGUGAAAGCCUACAGCUCAACUGUAGAACUGCCCAUUGAUACUGGAAUCCUUGAGUGUGGUUGAAGUAGACGGGAAUAUGUCAUGUAGCGGUGAAAUGCAUAGAUAUGACAUAGAACACCAAUUGCGUAGGCAGUUUACUAAACCAUUACUGACGCUCAUGGACGAAAGUGUGGGGAGCGAACAGGAUUAGAUACCCUGGUAGUCCACACCGUAAACUAUGAUCACUAGAUGUUGGCGAUAUACAGUCAGUGUCUUAGAGAAAUCGUUAAGUGAUCCACCUGGGGAGUACGUUCGCAAGAAUGAAACUCAAAGGAAUUGACGGGGGCCCGCACAAGCGGUGGAGCAUGUGGUUUAAUUCGAUGAUACGCGAGGAACCUUACCAAGGCUUAAAUGUAAAACGACCGGCUGAGAGAUCAGCUUUUUUUCGAACGGUUUACAAGGUGCUGCAUGGUUGUCGUCAGCUCGUGCCGUGAGGUGUCGGGUUAAGUCCCAUAACGAGCGCAACCCCUAUUUCUAGUUGCCAGCGAGUAAUGUCGGGAACUCUAGAGAGACUGCCCGUGCAAACGGAGAGGAAGGUGGGGAUGACGUCAAAUCAUCACGGCCCUUAUGUCUUGGGCUACACACGUGCUACAAUGGUAUGGACAAUGAGCAGCCAUCUGGCAACAGAGAGCGAAUCUAUAAACCAUAUCACAGUUCGGAUCGGAGUCUGCAACUCGACUCCGUGAAGCUGGAAUCGCUAGUAAUCGGAUAUCAGCCAUGAUCCGGUGAAUACGUCCCGGGCCUUGUACACACCGCCCGUCA